UACGUAGGGUGCAAGCGUUGUCCGGAAUUAUUGGGCGUAAAGAGCUCGUAGGCGGUUGUCGCGUCUGCUGUGAAACGCGAGGCUCAACCUCGCGCCUGCAGUGGGUACGGGCAGACUAGAGUGCGGUAGGGGAGAUUGGAAUUCCUGGUGUAGCGGUGGAAUGCGCAGAUAGUCAGGAGGAACACCGAUGGCGAAGGCAGAUCUCUGGGCCGUAACUGACGCUGGAGGAGCGAAAGCGUGGGGAGCGAACAGG
rnacentral:rRNA from 1 species